rnacentral:rRNA from 1 species
CUACGGGGGGCAGCAGUGGGGAAUAUUGCACAAUGGGGGAAACCCUGAUGCAGCGACGCCGCGUGAGUGAAGAAGUAUUUCGGUACGUAAAGCUCUAUCAGCAGGGAAGAAAAUGACGGUACCUGUAGAAUAAGCUCCGGCUAACUACGUGCCAGCAGCCGCGGUAAUACGUAGGGAGCAAGCGUUAUCCGGAUUUAUUGGGUGUAAAGGGUGCGUAGACGGGAAAACAAGUUAGUUGUGAAAUCCCUCAGCUUAACUGAGGAACUGCAACUAAAACUAUUUUUCUUGAGUGCUGGAGAGGAAAGUGGAAUUCCUAGUGUAGCGGUGAAAUGCGUAGAUAUUAGGAGGAACACCAGUGGCGAAGGCGACUUUCUGGACAGUAACUGACGUUGAGGCACGAAAGUGUGGGGAGCAAACAGGAUUAGAUACCCGGGUAGUC